UUGCUUCUCUUGAGAGCGGCGGACGGGUGAGUAAUGCCUAGGAAUCUGCCUGGUAGUGGGGGAUAACGUUCGGAAACGGACGCUAAUACCGCAUACGUCCUUCGGGAGAAAGCAGGGGACCUUCGGGCCUUGCGCUAUCAGAUGAGCCUAGGUCGGAUUAGCUAGCUGGUGGGGUAAUGGCUCACCAAGGCGACGAUCCGUAACUGGUCUGAGAGGAUGAUCAGUCACACUGGAACUGAGACACGGUCCAGACUCCUACGGGAGGCAGCAGUGGGGAAUAUUGGACAAUGGGCGAAAGCCUGAUCCAGCCAUGCCGCGUGUGUGAAGAAGGUCUUCGGAUUGUAAAGCACUUUAAGUUGGGAGGAAGGGCCAUUACCUAAUACGUGAUGGUUUUGACUUUACCGACAGAAUAAGCACCGGCUAACUCUGUGCCAGCAGCCGCGGUAAUACAGAGGGUGCAAGCGUUAAUCGGAAUUACUGGGCGUAAAGCGCGCGUAGGUGGUUUGUUAAGUUGGAUGUGAAAUCCCCGGGCUCAACCUGGGAACUGCAUUCAAAACUGACUGACUAGA
rnacentral:rRNA from 1 species